CGACAACAAUCAGAUAUUGUUCAGGAAGCGUCCAGAUUCAGCCGUUUUCAGCCGAAUUUGUCCCGAUUAUCCCGUUCUCAAUCCGAUUCUAAUCUGAUUCAUAUCUUUGGCCAGGUAAAAACAGCCCGAUUCUGUCCAGACAGCAUCCCGAAGUUGCCGAAUGCGAUCCGACAGAGACCCGACAGUGACCAGACAGUGAACCGACUCCAACGGAAACAAUCCGUUAGAAACCGUUCCACGUGACAGUCCCGUCCUAUAGAAAAAUCGUGCGACGGCAGAUAAUCACUUCAGCCUCAGCACUUCUACAAACAGC
rnacentral:lncRNA from 1 species